rnacentral:lncRNA from 1 species
UUACAAAUAUCCAGAAAAUGAUACACACACAAGUGAAAGGAAGAAGGGUGUGGAUACAGGUUAGGACUUCAGCCUAUGAAUUCUGAAAGGACACAAUUCAACCCAUCAAACCCGAAAGAUGGGGCUUGGGGACAGCCUGGAGCUAUUGAAUGAUGCAAGCUAUAAAAAAUUCUAGAAAGGAUCUGCCCUGUGUGUGCCUGGAGGCUCUGCGGGCACCAUUUGCACAGUCAAACUCCUUCCCUCUCCGCUGCUGCAGCAAAACUAAUGAACCACAAGAGCUGACUGGGUGGAAGCAGUAAACGACCUCCAGGCAAACACAGUGCCUGAGCCUUGAUCUUUGAGGUUUAGCUGCAAUGUUAUAGGCCAGAAAGUUCACAAGCGAGAGCCCUGAAGAUGCACAGCACGUGAGACCGCAAUAACCACGGCCUUGUUUCCAUCUGCAGAGACGUGAGGGUUCGUUGGCCCCACCCGCUUUGAUGUUCUUUUCUUCUGUCUCACACCUGUUUGACCAUCUCUUAAAUAGGAACAUUUUAAAACCAAAUUAAAAAUUCCAUUUUCUGAUACAUUGUCUCAUUUGAAUCCAAUUUACUAAACAUAUAAUAUGCUUUUUCCAAUCUUAUACUAAAAUAAUAAAGUGGGGCUCUAUGAGAAUGCAUAUCUUUCGUCAACUCAAAGGAAGAACUGAAAACUAACAUUUUAUUUCAAGGAAACAUGCUUAAAUGGCUCAUUUGAUUACUUUUAUGUACACAUGAUACCUCAAAGUCAGAUGCCUCAAAUCUCAGUGUUCAGAUAAUCUCCUAAAUGAAGAUGUAUAAAAAGAGCUACUUUUUCUAUUUUUAGCUGUGCCUAAAGGAUUUUCUUGUCUCUCAGAUAUUCUCAUUUGCUUUGGUUAUUCCCCUUUUCUUCUUCUUUCUCCUGUGUGGUUUUGCUUUAUGUUUUUAACUUUCUCUGAUUUUCAGAUUUUUUUUUAUUUUCUAGGUUUCUUACCUUUGCCUUUUCUGUCUAUUCUUAUUUUCACUUUCUUCCAACAAAACACCCACUAAAAUUCAGAGCAGGAUGGGUCUUUUCUCUUUCUCUCUCUCUCUCUUUUUUUUCAGUCUUUUAGUGUGCUCUCCCUCGUUGGAUUAUAAAUGCUUAUAUACCUGUCUACAUGUGGUCCAUGCAGUGACAGAAUUUUAGGAAAUUAGGAAGUGUGGGAUCUCUGGUCUGAAGGUGAUUUUAGGAUGGAACUGUUCCACCUUGGAUCAUCAGGCAAUAGUUAGAUUCUCAUAAGGAGCACACAACCUAGAUCCCUCGCAUGCACAGUUCACAAUAGGGUUCAUGCUCCUAUGAAAAUCUUUUGCUGCUGCUGAUCUGACAGGAGGCAAAGCUCAGGUGGUAAUGCUUGCUUGCCCAAUGCUCACCUCUUGCUGUGUGACCUGCUUCCUAACAGGCCCCAGACAAUCCUGGUCUGUAGCUGGGGGUUGGGGACUCCUGCUGUAGAAGAAUGAGCAGUUGCAACCAGCUCCACAGCUGAGUAGCUGCCAUCACCAGCCUGGAGGGUCAGGCUGCCUCACAGGCCCUUCACUCCAUUAUUGGGCAAAUGGAAAGGACUCAUUCGGGCUGUCUCCUGGGGGAAAGGUCAUAACGUGUGGCGCAGGAGCUUGUGUCUCUGAUAGGCUGCACACUCCUUCCAUGACUGAUGGUCAGCGUGGGGAAUGCUCCACAGGUUUUUUGAGUAUGAGAGCCCACAAGUAUUUUAGUUUAUGAAGAAUGUUCAUACAUGUCAUUUCAUUCAUGGGUGAACUCAAACUCGAAGGACACAGAGGCAGUAAACGCCAGGUGGACUCCACAUCAGGGGCCGACCAGGGUCCCAAGCCCAGUGAUCUCAUAAACCCCCAAAAGCGGGCCUCCGCCCCUGGGCUCUGGUAGAUGGCACUGGUAGCAUACUCUCCACCCCUUCCUGGCCAGUGGCACCCACUGCCUGCCUUCAUGCAGGAGAGAGAGCCUCAUUCAGGUCUUCAACAAGCCAGCUUUUAUUUUUAUUUCAGAUUUAAGCCAAUUCUUGUCAAGAUCAAUAGCAUCUUGGUCAAUAGAAUUAUUUGAAACCCUUAAGAUACAUAACUUUAAGUAGCCUUUGGAAUAAUGCACUUUAGAAAUAUUUUCAAAGGCAUUUGACUGGAACAGCAAGGGGGUUACUCUCACUGGAGAAUCCUUUCAGGGAGAUGAUUCGGCAGUUCAGAGUCAUUUGGGCAAGCGAUUCAUUCUCAGCAGACCACAAAUAUCCCCCAGCCCUUCCUCCAUCUGUGUCCCAAAACUAACAAGCCUGUUCUUCUCUUGGGAAACAUUAAUCUGACUAAUGGCCUCAAUCCCCAUCUCAUACCCUUCCUGGGAAGACUGGAUCAUCAUUAACAAACCCCAAAUCUUCCAGAACCUCCCUAUGACUGACCAACACUCAUGUCCCGACGUAUGGACUACUUCCUCACGUGCCCCCCAACUCUGUUUCUCUUGCUCCCAAUAGAUCAGCUCUCCCCUUGGCUGGAGGCAAGUGGACUGUGCAGGGGACACUCCCUGGCAGCACCAACCCGCCUGCUGCCCAGAUGCCCCUCACACCCUGCAGGGCCACGCUGCCAAAGGCCAUGGCUUCCUGGUGACAGCAGUACUCCUGGAAACAUUGUAAAUCAACCCCACAGCCUUUCCCAGCAUCUUUCCUGGGCAGAGGAGGAAAGAGCCCUGCUGUGAACAGUGUGGUCAUGGGCCAGGUGUCCAGGAACAAGAGAAGUCACCCGCAUGCUUGCAUUCCACAGAGGGCAGUUUCACUGGCCCUGGGUCUGCUAUCUGUCACACAGGUGGCACUGGAUUUCAGAGUUUCUGAGGGGCGUUUUCUUUUGUUCUUACCCCUACCAAACACUAUCUAUGCAGGUCAAAUCCAUAGCAUCUGUGGGCCCCUCAUUUGAGGACUGCCUAAGCU